rfam:Helianthus annuus linkage group 12, whole genome shotgun sequence.
AACCCAUGAUGAGGGCACUUGAUCAAUAGCUCUUUGAAUCGCUCUCACGUCUCGUAAAAAGAUUCUCCCUCCUUUUGGCAGAACUCCUGAAUCAUGCUCCUUAGACU